GCCCUGGUGGUGGAAUUGGUAGACACAAGGGAUUUAAAAUCCCUCGGCGUUCGCGCUGUGCCGGUUCAAGUCCGGCCCGGGGCA
rfam:Vibrio sinaloensis strain T08 Contig62, whole genome shotgun sequence.